UGAGAACUAUCAGGUACUGAAAAUGAACUCACUCUCAGGCAUCAACGUGGAUCUCAAAAACAGAAUUUGGAGUGCAGGCUGCCAUCCUGCACACCCCCAAGAGAGCCAUCAUAGUGGCCUGUAUGAAUGCAACCCUCAGGAACUGCAGUGCACAGCCUGGGCAACCAACCUGUGGCCCUGGCUGAGUGAAUAAAGCAAGCUGAAGAGGAAGGGGAGUGGAGACAAGAAACAACAAAGGAUGAGGGUGACUUCUUUAACAUGCAAGAAAGAUUUCAUAAGUGUAUUUGCCAAGUCAGUUACUUUGAUGAGGUAUACUCACUCCCAUCCCCUCUCCUCCAUUGUCUCAGCCCCCACUACCUGCCACCAACAAACACACACACACACUUUCACAUUCAUGCCCUUGCGGGGCUUAUGUUUUCUCUGCAGAGCUUCAUUUGACAUCUAGAUAACUGGGAAAGUGGGAGGUGAAGAGGAGAGAAGCAGCACUUCCAUGUUCUCAGCAUUGGAGACGCUGUCCGAGGCCCCUGCUAGGAAAUGCUUCCGAUAUGUAAUCAAACUAGAAACACCCACCACCAACAAGAGACCCGGUGUUCCAAUUUUAUGAGAAAACAUGCCUUUCUUUGGCAUUUACUAAGAAGCAGUUACCUGUGUAUAGCAACUUUGGGAGAUGGUUUUGGAAAUCAUCCUGUGACUGGAUGCAGAUGGCAGAUUUUGUGCAGCCCAGACUUGCUCUGUCCACAGCACUCCGCACAGGGUUUCCACUACCCCCUCCCGCAGGACUGUUGCGUCUCACCUCGGGGUAUGUUUAAUAGAACCAGUGUCUGAGGAGUUAUGCGCUGAGGCUGGGAGGCCUUCAUGGCAACUGGCACAUUUUUACAAAACAACUCUGGUGGAUUGAGGGGGCCCUGGAGAGCGAGGACAAGGAGCUCAGUCUGUGUUCAGCUGGACGCCAGCAUCCCCUGUGGUUGCUCUAAAUAGUUCCUGUUCCUUCAAAUAGUUCCUGUUCUAGCAGGUGUUGUCCAGAGAGCAAGACUUGUAGGUUGGAAGAGGAGAGAGACUUCAUCCCAAUUUCGUGAGCAUUCAUCUCCAAGAGUGUCUCGUCUCAAGUUUCUAGACCUAACUGCAGCAACUGGCUUUUUGUACAUAUGUGAAGCCAUCUUCUCCCUUCCAUUCCAGUGUUCUAUUAAAAAACUGAAAAGAUAA
rnacentral:lncRNA from 1 species